rnacentral:tRNA from 1 species
GCCCAGGUAGCUCAGUCGGUAGAGCAGCGGACUGAAAAUCCGCGUGUCGGUGGUUCGAUUCCGCCCCUGGGCA